rnacentral:sRNA from 2 species
CUCUGCCGCUGGCCGGAAUCCGUUCGCACAACCGUUUGGCAGGGGCGGGGGAACCACUUUCGGGCCUCUUCACCGAGGUCCUUGGGGUAAAGCAGCCCGGUGCUUGCACCGGGAGGCCGGAUACUUCCAGUCCGAACCCGACAGCUCACCUCGCAGGCAUUGGGAGAGGCUAC